GACGUAGGAGGCGAGCGUUGUCCGGAGUUACUGGGCGUAAAGCGUGCGCAGGCGGUGAUGUAAGACAGGUGUGAAAUCCCCGGGCUUAACCUGGGAACUGCAUUUGUGACUGCAUCGCUGGAGUGCGGCAGAGGGGGAUGGAAUUCCGCGUGUAGCAGUGAAAUGCGUAGAUAUGCGGAGGAACACCGAUGGCGAAGGCAAUCCCCUGGGCCUGCACUGACGCUCAUGCACGAAAGCGUGGGGAGCAAACAGG
rnacentral:rRNA from 1 species